rnacentral:rRNA from 1 species
GACGAACGCUGGCGGCGUGCUUAACACAUGCAAGUCGAACGAUGAUGCUGGAGCUUGCUCCAGUUGAUUAGUGGCGAACGGGUGAGUAACACGUGAGCAAUCUGCCCUUGACUCUGGGAUAACUGCGGGAAACUGUAGCUAAUACCGGAUACUUUCACCGGAAGGCAUCUUCUGGUGAUGACAGAAUUUCGGUCAGGGAUGAGCUCGCGGCCUAUCAGCUUGUUGGUGAGGUAACGGCUCACCAAGGCGACGACGGGUAACCGGCCUGGGAGGGUGACCGGUCACACUGGGACUGGGACACGGCCCAGACUCCUACGGGAGGCAGCAGUGGGGAAUACUGCACGAUGGGCGCAAGCCUGAUGCAGCAACGCCGCGUGAGGGACGAAGGCCUUCGGGUUGUAAACCUCUUUUAGCAGGGAAGAAGCGAAAGUGACGGUACCUGCAGAAAAAGCACCGGCUAACUACGUGCCAGCAGCCGCCGUAA